GAGAGUUAAACAGUACGUGAAAUUGUUGAAAGGGAAACGAUUGAAGUCAGUCAUACUAACGGGAAAUCAACCUCCUGAGUUUGGUCUCGUGGGUUUCGAAGAGUUUAAAAGCCUUUGGAUUUUCGAGAUUGGGCUCUUCUGGUGUACUUUCUCGUACGGUUAGUCAACAUCGGUUUUGAAUGUCAUAAAAUGACUGGAGGAAUGUGGCUUCGAUCUCGUAUUGAAGUGUUAUAACCUUUGGUAGAUGUGAUGUUUGAGACCGAGGAUUGCAACGGAUACCCUUCUGGGCUAUUCGUCUGAUCUCUGAAACGUUGCCUUGAUGUCGAAAGCUUGCUUAUGAUGUUAGGGUAUUACGGUCAAAAGGUUAGAACGGAUUAAAUUCGUUAAGGAUGUUGACGUAAUGACUUUAAACGA
rnacentral:rRNA from 1 species